rnacentral:rRNA from 1 species
AUUGAACGCUGGCGGCAGGCCUAACACAUGCAAGUCGAACGAGUGGCGGACUGGUGAGUAAUGUCUGGGAAACUGCCUGAUGGAGGGGUCUAACUCCUGUAAACGUUAGCUAAUACCGCAUACCAUCAGAUGUGCCCAGAUGGGAUGAGCUUGUUGGUGGGGUAACGGCUCACCAAGGCAACGAUCCCCAGCUGGUCUGAGAGGAUGACCAGCCACACUGGAACUGAGACACGGCCCAGACUCCUACGGGAGGCAGCAGUGGGGAAUAUUGCGCAAUGGACGAAAGCCUGAUGCAGCAAUGCCGCGUGUAUGAAGAAGGCCUUCGGGUUGUAAAGUACUGUCAGCGGAGAGGCGUUACCCAAAGAGGAAGCACCGGCUAACUCCGUGCCAGCAGCCGCGGUAAUAC